rnacentral:rRNA from 1 species
UACGUAGGGGGCUAGCGUUGUCCGGAAUCAUUGGGCGUAAAGCGCGUGUAGGCGGUCCGGUAAGUCCGCUGUGAAAGUCGGGGGCUCAACCCUCGAAUGCCGGUGGAUACUGUCGGGCUAGAGUGCGGAAGAGGCGAGUGGAAUUCCUGGUGUAGCGGUGAAAUGCGCAGAUAUCAGGAGGAACACCACUAGCGAAGGCAGCUCGCUGGGACGGUACUGACGCUAAGGCGCGAAAGCGUGGGGAGCGAACAGG